UGUGGCACACCUCAACGAAUUGCAUGAUAGGCUACUUUGGAUAGAUUUAUUGGGUUCAAAGCUUGGUAACUUAUAAUCAUACAUUCCAGUUAAUGGCUAUUAACUUGUUCAGUCAGUGAUAUUAUUGUUAGGUCAAAGGUGUGAACAUGUUGAUUUCCCUUAGUUCAGUAUUUUGGAUCUCUGUCCCCAGCUACCCCCAACACACACACACACUUUCAAAGACGCUGUUUCUGUGAGGCUAAAGACAGCAAGAUGUUUGCCACAUGUUUGGAUGUCAGAUGGUAGGGUGAGGAAAUGAAGGGGAUUAUUAUCAGUCAGUGGCCUGAUCCCCACAAACAGAUGCAUUUUCCAAGACAAAUUAUCCACAUUUGUUAUUACAGUAAUAGAGAUGGCACCUCAAAGUCUGUUUUGUUCUGCUUUCUUUGUUGGGAAUUGUGUUUACCACUGUCAUUUUGAGGAUGUAAGUGGUAGUGGAAUUGAACAUCUUUCUCAGGUGUUGGUAGGUCAUACAGUUUGUAUGGCUUUAGAUCCCUCAAUAUGUACAACACAUUGCCCAGUAGUAUGAGAAGAAGUGUGCUGAUGUUUGAGAAUUUACUAGUUCUAUACAUUAUCCUGCUUAUUAUACGGCUACUUGCCAAAACGAAAAAAUAAACUCCAUGAUGAGGGAGUUUCACAAAUGGACAAGCCUGAGUGAGGAACACUCAUUCGGCCUCCCAGAGGAAACCUCCGGUGUUUGUCUGGGGGUCUACUUUGUCACUGCUGUUUGUUGUUUCUGUCAAAGGAGAAUUCUUCAACCAAGAGAAAGAAUGUAUCUCCUCAAGGGGCUGUCUUUACUGCCGCAAUCAUGGCUGUUGUAGUCAUGUAGGCUUGUUUUGGCCCUUAAAGGCAAAUCAGUCGUUUAAACUCUCUCACCCCUGAUUCCUUCCACACACACACACACACACAAACUAGAUUGUUCUCUUCAACAUUGCUGCUAGUGGGAUGCUGGUAUUGAAGAGUGAGUGGUCACUAUUUUUGUUUGAACUGGAAAGUCAGAUGGUUUAUAUGGUUCCCCUAACUGUGGCUGUUUUAGAGGUAGACCAGUGUAAGAUGAGUUGCAGUCGUACAGUUUUGCGAUAUGACCAUUUUCAAACCUCAAUCCCUUAAUUGCUGAGCUGAAAUGAAAUCUAAUCUAACUGUGAGGGAAUGUAAUUUCAUUAGUUCUUAAUCCUCUUGCACUGCUGUUUAUGCACUUUUGAAUUUUUGUUCUGUGCUGUGCUCAAGGGAAAGGAAAUACAAUUAAAAGUUUGAGCCUCUCAGUCAGUUCCCAUCUGAUAAUGUCCCUGCUUUUCAGAUUCUUAAAUUAAAUGAUGGUUGUCUCAGAAAUGAUCCUCCAUCGUGUCUGUUUGUGAAAUGUAUCACUGAGUGUUUGAUCAGUUUAGAGCUCGUGUACAUGUUCAGUGCCAGUUUAUGGUCAGAUCAACUAUCACAUCAUCAUCAUAUUGACUCUCCUUAAUUUUCUACAUCAGUAUUAUUGGUAACUGGAGAAAGGUGGAUGUGUAUUCUUUAUCCUUUCGGCAUUACUAAUCCUGCAACUCUUUUUCCUUCUCAGGUUCCUGGGCAUAUUCUGGAAAUGUGCAAGAAUAGGUGAGAGGAAAAGUCCUUACGUGGCCGUCUGCUGUGUCAUAAUGGCCUUCACCAUCUUAUUCUCGGAGUAGCAAUGGACCGCACAAAACGGACACUUUAACAUCUAAGGGGGAGGCUGAGGGCCAGGCUCUGCAGUCUCCCCCACGGCGCGAUAUGUGACUUAUCAACAUUUGGACUCAAUUGUCUGGUCUGAGCUGGGGUCUCAUUGAAGCACAGUAGUUCUGCACAGGGAGUGCACUGAAGUACAUCCUGUGCGUUGCAAGUGUUUGCCUCGUGGACCUGCUAUUUGUAAACAUGAUUGUUUUCUUUGUUGCUCCCUAUGUGGUGUACCGUUGGUGUAUCUUCAUGUCACUACCAUUAUUUUGCCACUUUAUCAAACCAGAUUUCUUGGGGGGCAAAUGUUGCAGAUUUGUUGAGGAUGUCAAUAACUCUUAAGUAACUAUAUGGAUGUACAUUUGUUUACAGAUGUGCACUCCUUAUUACCAAAAUGAUGCUCCUGUGAUUUCAAAUCAUAAGACCAAGUUUUACAGCGAUAUCAUGAUGGACGGGAUCAUAAUACAGGUUGUUUAGUGUUUUUGUGAGUUUUUUUUUUCUUCAUUAAGACACAUGGUUAUUACACCAAAACAGUCUGUUAUGUCAAUAAAAACAUAUUUGUUGUA